CUCAUGAUGAACGCUAGCUACAGGCUUAACACAUGCAAGUCGAGGGGCAGCAUGGUCUUAGCUUGCUAAGGCCGAUGGCGACCGGCGCACGGGUGAGUAACACGUAUCCAACCUGCCGUCUACUCUUGGACAGCCUUCUGAAAGGAAGAUUAAUACAAGAUGGCAUCAUGAGUCCACAUGUUCACAUGAUUAAAGGUAUUCCGGUAGACGAUGGGGAUGCGUUCCAUUAGAUAGUAGGCGGGGUAACGGCCCACCUAGUCUUCGAUGGAUAGGGGUUCUGAGAGGAAGGUCCCCCACAUUGGAACUGAGACACGGUCCAAACUCCUACGGGAGGCAGCAGUGAGGAAUAUUGGUCAAUGGGCGAGAGCCUGAACCAGCCAAGUAGCGUGAAGGAUGACUGCCCUAUGGGUUGUAAACUUCUUUUAUAAAGGAAUAAAGUCGGGUAUGCAUACCCGUUUGCAUGUACUUUAUGAAUAAGGAUCGGCUAACUCCGUGCCAGCAGCCGCGGUAAUACGGAGGAUCCGAGCGUUAUCCGGAUUUAUUGGGUUUAAAGGGAGCGUAGAUGGAUGUUUAAGUCAGUUGUGAGAGUUUGCGGCUCAACCGUAAAAUUGCAGUUGAUACUGGAUAUCUUGAGUGCAGUUGAGGCAGGCGGAAUUCGUGGUGUAGCGGUGAAAUGCUUAGAUAUCACGAAGAACUCCGAUUGCGAAGGCAGCCUGCUAAGCUGCAACUGACAUUGAGGCUCGAAAGUGUGGGUAUCAAACAGGAUUAGAUACCCUGGUAGUCCACACGGUAAACGAUGAAUACUCGCUGUUUGCGAUAUACGGCAAGCGGCCAAGCGAAAGCGUUAAGUAUUCCACCUGGGGAGUACGCCGGCAACGGUGAAACUCAAAGGAAUUGACGGGGGCCCGCACAAGCGGAGGAACAUGUGGUUUAAUUCGAUGAUACGCGAGGAACCUUACCCGGGCUUAAAUUGCAGAUGAAUUACGGUGAAAGCCGUAAGCCGCAAGGCAUCUGUGAAGGUGCUGCAUGGUUGUCGUCAGCUCGUGCCGUGAGGUGUCGGCUUAAGUGCCAUAACGAGCGCAACCCUUGUUGUCAGUUACUAACAGGUUCCGCUGAGGACUCUGACAAGACUGCCAUCGUAAGAUGUGAGGAAGGUGGGGAUGACGUCAAAUCAGCACGGCCCUUACGUCCGGGGCUACACACGUGUUACAAUGGGGGGUACAGAGGGCCGCUACCACGCGAGUGGAUGCCAAUCCCCAAAACCUCUCUCAGUUCGGACUGGAGUCUGCAACCCGACUCCACGAAGCUGGAUUCGCUAGUAAUCGCGCAUCAGCCACGGCGCGGUGAAUACGUUCCCGGGCCUUGUACACACCGCCCGUCAAGCCAUGGGAGCCGGGGGUACCUGAAGUGCGUAACCGCGAGGAGCGCCCUAGGGUAAAACUGGU
rnacentral:rRNA from 1 species